rnacentral:rRNA from 1 species
UGGAGAGUUUGAUCCUGGCUCAGGACGAACGCUGGCGGCGUGCUUAACACAUGCAAGUCGAGCGAUGAAGUCCCUUCGGGGAYGGAUUAGCGGCGGACGGGUGAGUAACACGUGGGUAACCUGCCUCAUAGAGGGGAAUAGCCUUYCGAAAGGAAGAUUAAUACCGCAUAAGAUUGUAGUUUCGCAUGAAACAGCAAUUAAAGGAGUAAUCCGCUAUGAGAUGGACCCGCGUCGCAUUAGCUAGUUGGUGAGGUAACGGCUCACCAAGGCGACGAUGCGUAGCCGACCUGAGAGGGUGAUCGGCCACAUUGGGACUGAGACACGGCCCAGACUCCUACGGGAGGCAGCAGUGGGGAAUAUUGCACAAUGGGGGAAACCCUGAUGCAGCAACGCCGCGUGAGUGAUGACGGUCUUCGGAUUGUAAAACUCUGUCUUUAGGGACGAUAAUGACGGUACCUAAGGAGGAAGCCACGGCUAACUACGUGCCAGCAGCCGCGGUA